UGAAAAACUACGGGGGGGGGAUGUACCCAAGGGGAUCAGGGCAGGGGAUUGGGAUCCACCCAUGCGGGA
rnacentral:tRNA from 1 species